UUCUAGCAACAGUAAAUGAAUCAAGGAAAAUAAAAUAACUGUAAUAACCCAUAGAAAAGAAAAAAAAGCACAACUGUUUUUCUUAAAACAUGUGCAUAUAGACACAUACACAUUUUUAAACAGAAAACCUAUAACUCACUAGUAUGAAUACAAACCAAUGUACAAAAAUGCUAGAAUUAAUAAAAGAAUAUUUGACAUUUUGGGGAUAAAUGAGACUCUUUUAACUCCUUUCCCAUAUCUGGUUCAUUUAGAAGUUCAGCCUUUAAAGAUGCCAGAUAUAUAAUGCUAGUUCUCAAUUUAAAUUAUCCACUAAAUUAAAUUACAGGCAUAAACUCAUCAAAUGUUAGAGUUGAAAGAUUUUUGGAAGAUUUUAUAUUCCAAACCUUAGCACACUACAGAAAUACCUUUAUAAACCAUGGAGAUGGCCACCAAACCCAUGCUUAAAGCAUGCCCAACUAGAGCAAGCUCGUGAUUUCACAAAAAGUAUGUUCUACGCUUAGCUGAAAUAUGCCUUCUCACAAUUUCCUUCUAUGAGCUCCAGCUCUCUCUCUUAAAACCCUCACAACAUAGACUUAAAACAGCUGUCCUUUUUCCAUCUUCCAUUGACACUGAUAAUCAAACUAUCUCUUAUUUUCAGCAACUAUCAUAGUGUAAAAAUAAAGAAGGCUACUGCUGUAUUGUCAAUUGUUUAUAACAUUCGUGAGAAAAACAGACAUUGGUACAGAGCUCUGUAUUUGUGGACCCACUAUAUAAUACGUGACAAAUGAAGUUAUUGUCCAUAGAGUCUUCCACACUGCUUCUUGAGUUUGCAUUAUCCCCUAGUGGUUUAUAAGCAUGACUGAUUGAGGCAAAUUUGAAAAUGUUAGUCUAUCUGAUUCACUAAGACUUCACCAUAAAGCUCAACAUUAGGCACUCAAAUUUUCUGUUCUUUCUGCUUUGGCCAAUUUGAGAUGGCAUCAGGGAAUCAAGUGUUUCAAAUCACAAUACAGAAAAAUAGAACUCCAAUUUAAGAAAUACCCCAGUUGAUGAUGAUAAUUAGGAGGAGGAUAUAUAUUCUUCUCUUACAAUAGCAUCAUUUUUAAAAGUGAGAAACUUUGGCUCAAAGGAAAAAGUUAACACAGUUUAUGUAGAUAUAUUAGCCUAGUAGUUUUAGAAAAUAUGUUUCCAGUUUAUUUUACUGAGCUGCGUUAGGCAGUCUGCCAAAUCAGGUUAUGUGAGAACAGUAGAAUGGUAACUCUGGACUCAAUUACAAUUGAAUUACCAAAUAAGCAAUGCAAAGGACAUAAAAGAGACAAAAAAAAAAGCAAUCAAGCCAGUGCAGUGCUCUGUUGCUUCCUAGUUCUUCUUGGAAAUGCACACACAAUUAUGAUUCCCAGUGCUGCUGCUCCUUUGGGGUAAAGACAGUCUCCCAGAUCAGAGGACCUCAGAACUGUGGGCUUCUUGUCCUCUCGUUAUUUUAUACCAUUAGGUCAGAGGAGGAGUUACGUCAGCACUCCUCACCAUUUAGGGAGAUGGAUUUUGGUGUCCUGAGGGAUGUUUGCAGUUUAUUUGUUCCUACUUCAAAGAAAAUACUUCUAUAUUUCAUUUAGCAGAAAUAAAAAGUUACGUGAUUCCAGAGUUUUGUACAGAAGGUUUGUCCAUGACCUAUCAUAUGUCAGUUCUGGACAAUCAUCUCUAUACUUACAUUUGAGUGCUUUUGAAACAUUCGAAAUGCAGAUAUUGAGAACUGGAAUUUGUCAUCCAAAAGAGGAUGACUAUGAAGGUAGAAACUGUUGUAUAAUAAUAAAUGUUUAAAGAAGUGGGUUGUUUACCCUCUGGAAAAGUGAACUGACUAUGGUAAAUACAAUACGCUUAACAAGUAUUUUGUGAGUGAGAGAAGUUGGUUUCAAAUAAUUUAUUUAAGUGUAUUUGACUGUUCCAUUUCAUUGAAAAGAAACGGUAGUAGAAAACAGAUUUUAAUUUAAAUUAAGAAAAGAGCAUUUUCAGUGUUAGAGAGGUUCGACAAUAAAAUCAGCUGUCUUAUAAUCAGCUUAUAAUCCCACAGAUCAGCCCAUUAAAAAGAGGCUGAAUUAUUUCUGCCAAGCAAAAAAAAAAAAAAAAAAAAAUCAAGAAGUGGUCAACUGUGUCAAAUAUUGCAAAUAGUUUAAGUUAGACAAUGACAGGAAAUGUUCUAUUGUAUUUAGCAAACUAGAGGUCAUUGCACACUUUUUAAAGAGCCAUUUCAGUGAAGAGGUUAUGUAAUUUUAAUGAGAGUACUUAAACUAGACAUCGGUCAGCCCCAAAACUAAUUAACAUAUACAUCUUCACUUCAAAUAAACUUGUAUAAAAGUUUGAUCUGUAGCAUAAGGAAUGUGCUGGUAAGAGAUAUUAAAUGAUGCAGUUUACUAUGUAAGAAACACUUCUAACAUACCAAUAGUCUGCAGUUCACACGACAUUUAUGCCAUCAGUCAGGAGUUUGACUAUAAGCAACUAAAAAUCGUUGAAAUGCUACCUUUCAAUGUAGAUAGCAUAAUAUGCCAUUUUAGAGAUAUAAAAAUUAGGUGAGUCACUAAAGUCCAAAUAAUAGCCUACUAAUAUUAACAAAUAUAUAUAGCAUUUUUACUCUAUGCUAGACAUCAUUCUAAGUAAUUUACAUGUAUCCAUGUAUUUAAUCCUCAUAAAAACUCUGAUGGUAUGAAGUCUUAUUACACCAUUUUACUGAUGGAGCAAAUGAUGCACAUGAAAAUAUGUGCCCAAGGUCAUUUAACUGGUGAGAUUGCAGAACUAGAAUUAAAAUCCAGUGAGACUGGCUUCAAAAUCUAGAUGCUUAAGCAGUCACUCCGCUGCCUCUCACAGUGAUAGUAACUGAGUUGUGAUUUAAAUCCACAUUUUGUACCCCCAGCAAACUUUUAUUUCUACUACUUCUCAGGUGCUAGAAACCUCCCAGAUUUGUAGUGGAGAAAGAGAAAACAGCUUAAUUUAUAAUUAUGUCAAAGAGGGGGAAAAGUGCUUAUAAUUUAUAAAGGAGCCAGGGCAGGCAGAGUUUUGCCCAGAAUUAGAGAACUAGUCUUAGAGAAGGAGAGAGAGAAAAAAACAUUUGAUUUAUUUCCUUGAUAUCAACCUCAUCAGCAAUAGGUUGCAUGAAACUUCACCAAGAAUACUGCUUAAAUAUUAAUGUAAUAUGACAGAUAAAAGUAACAUGACAAAACAUUUAUGACAAAUAUAAAUUAGCUCUGCGGUUUUAUAUGAGCUUUGCUCUGUUCUAGUCUUUUGAUUUAAUCUUUUAAUUUGAAAAAUCCUUCCAAAUUCAGAAUAACUGGUGAUGUGUUAGGAGUUUAUCAUUACAUGCCAUUCAUUGUCUUCCUAAGAAAUACAGUAUUUUGCUAAAUAAAUUGUGAUGCACAUUAAAAAUGGAUACAAAGUCUAAAAGAGGUAAAGAUGUUUCUUCCUAACUUAUCAAGGAAAGGUUCCUAGAUGAAAGAAUAUCAAUAAAUAAAUUUAAAAUCGGUGGCAUAAUGUAUAGCCACGUAGAAAAUUAGCUUUUACCCAAAACACAUGUGGCUCAAAUUUUAGCCCCACUGUGCUAAGAUUAAAGGCCACCAGGGUAAAUGUUCUUUUUUGCUUAAAAUUACACUAAAUUGUUGGUCUUCUCUGCUGGACUAUACACUCCUCAAGGAUAGCAACCAUAUCUUAUUUACCUUUAUGCACUUCUUAUCAAAAGAGAAAUAACUUAGGCCUGAAUUGAGGAAACUAUUUCUAUGUCUAUACCCAUCAGAUGUGGCUAAAGAAGAGACACAACUAGAUGUUAGAAAUGUUGCUACACAUUUAUUUAGGAAGGGUGAAAAUCUCCAGUAAUUUUAAUUAGACAGACUACUGUCUAUGUAAAAGCUUGACUGUUACCCAAAGGCAAAGAAUGGCAACCCUUCACUUACUGAGUUUUUUUUUUUUCUACCUCUAAAACUAUAACAUCAAAAACUAUAAGGAAGACAAUGACCGUAACAUUUCUUACAAUGCUCUUAUGUCAUCAUAAUGUAACCAGCUCCCUUGAGAGUUCAGCACUCCAGCAUUUUUAGUGGCUGAAAUAAUGAAAAUUCUAAUUAGGCUUUGCUUGCUUGCUGCACAAAAGCCAACAUCCCUUGUUUCCACAGUAUAAACUGCUGAUGUACUGUUUCUUUGCCAAGCAGGAGGAGGUGACUUCAGGGUCAUGAAAAAGAUUUGCAGAAGGAAUGGACAUGGCGACCAGCUGCUGAUACUCAAGGGUCUGGUUGCUCAAGAUGUUUUCUGAGACUGAAGACACACAGACUUUUCCCCUCGCUUCCCUGAAACUCCCCCUCCCUUAACUCUCUAGCCACAUAAAAAUUCCCCGCUUCUUUUUGUUUAGAGGGAUUUGAGAGAUCUUGCCUUCUCAUGUUGGCCAAAUUGAAGAAAGCUUUUUCUCCAAGCAGUUGUUUGCCAGUGUUUGGUGUUAACUGCACAUCAGGUUCAUAAUUUAUGGUGGAUAACUUAUAAGCAAAUAAUUAAAGAUCUACAAAAUUAAAUAAUACCAAGUGUUGGUGAAGCUGUGGAAAAAGAAUCCUCUCAUAAUGCUGGAACCAAGAUACACGAUGAAGGUAAAGUUAGUGGGUAAUUUGGUAGUGUGCAGGAAAACAAAACAAAACAAAUGCAUAUCUAUAACCCAUGUACAAGAAUAUCUGUUGCAAUGUUAUUUAUACUAGAAAUAAAAUUGCCUAAGACACAGCAAUUCUUAAAUGUGUUACAGUAAAAUUACACUAUCAGAUGCUAUUUAUUACUUACAGAGAAUAAAAUCAGUUUAUAUGUUCCUACACAGAAAGGUCUGAAAAAGAGAUGUUUUUCAGGGAAAAGUAGAUGCUGCAAAUAUAUAUACAGAAUGAUACCAUUCAUUCCAUAAAAAAGAAUGGGGCAGUAAGAAAAAAAUAUCAAACAAGCAGUGCCUUUCUUUUGAGAGAAGACAGGAUUCUGUGCCUAGCCAAAGGGGACUUCAGGUUUUUGCUUUUGUUUUGUGAUGGAUUCUCGCUCUGUU